rnacentral:rRNA from 1 species
UUAUCUGAACCUUCGGGGAACGAUAACGGCGUCGAGCGGCGGACGGGUGAGUAAUGCCUAGGAAAUUGCCCUGAUGUGGGGGAUAACCAUUGGAAACGAUGGCUAAUACCGCAUGAUGCCUACGGGCCAAAGAGGGGGACCUUCGGGCCUCUCGCGUCAGGAUAUGCCUAGGUGGGAUUAGCUAGUUGGUGAGGUAAGGGCUCACCAAGGCGACGAUCCCUAGCUGGUCUGAGAGGAUGAUCAGCCACACUGGAACUGAGACACGGUCCAGACUCCUACGGGAGGCAGCAGUGGGGAAUAUUGCACAAUGGGCGCAAGCCUGAUGCAGCCAUGCCGCGUGUAUGAAGAAGGCCUUCGGGUUGUAAAGUACUUUCAGUCGUGAGGAAGGUUCAUGCGUUAAUAGCGUAUGGAUUUGACGUUAGCGACAGAAGAAGCACCGGCUAACUCCGUGCCAGCAGCCGCGGUAAUACGGAGGGUGCGAGCGUUAAUCGGAAUUACUGGGCGUAAAGCGCAUGCAGGUGGUUUGUUAAGUCAGAUGUGAAAGCCCGGGGCUCAACCUCGGAAUAGCAUUUGAAACUGGCAGACUAGAGUACUGUAGAGGGGGGUAGAAUUUCAGGUGUAGCGGUGAAAUGCGUAGAGAUCUGAAGGAAUACCGGUGGCGAAGGCGGCCCCCUGGACAGAUACUGA